ensembl:lncRNA
AUCUCUUGCUGGCGAUCGCAGACUACCUCUGGCCUUACAAGGAUCCUUGCUUCGUGAGGCUAGUCCUGAUGAAAUACUUUUCUAUAUCCUUUGGGAUAUGGAUUGCCUAUUCUUGAACAGGUAUCUGGGCAGUGUCCUCUCCUCGCAGUGUGCUGCUGCUCCUUGGAGUGCCCGGGGAAAGCUGGAUUUGAAAUUCAGUCUUUACUUUUUUCUUACCUUUGGCCCUGCUGCUGAAAUACUAGUUUCCAGACUGGUAAAAACUCUGUUGAAUAGCAUAAGGUCCCAAUUUGCUUGAAGAUCAUCAUUAUAUCUUUCUGCAGUCACAAGGCGGGAAGUGAAUUGCCAGCAGGAUGUGCAUAGUCCACAUGAACUGCUGAGAACUACCUCUUGUUUAAUUAAUAUUAAUUUACUAUUUAUAAAGUGAUAACAAGG